CAACAUUUCAGCUUCCACCUUGUUCCAAAUUUUAGCACAUCUUACUGAAGUACUAAGCUCAUAAUCACCAAUUCAUUUCAAACCAUAUAACUCAUACUCAGCAUCCCAUGUAAUAUUAGUCAUCUCAUAAAACAAUAUCUUUGUAAAAACACAUAAUGGGUACCCAGCAGAUAUGCCAAUACAGAAAUCACAUUUAUGGGCACACAACUACACACUCUGUCUCCCUCCUAGGAAACACAGAUAGACACAAUAUAAAAGCAAUCUUAAACUAACACCUCCAAAUCUCCAACUAUUCUUGGCCAAAACGCUAGUAUUCAACAACUAAUAAAACAGUUAUUUGCUAGGUUAUUUGGCUGUCAUUCUUAUCAGUAUCACUAGACUGUGACAAACUGAUUCACAUAUAAUUUAAAACAAUACAGCAACAUAUAAAUUAAACCACUUUCAAGUUAAACUGCACACUUAUCACACAUUAUCACAAUCACCAUUUACACAGAAUAAACAGUUAACAGCUGUAUUCAGAACAUAUUAUUGGAAAGUAUACCAAUUUUAGUUUAGAUUUAUUUUAGGGAUUCUUAUGUGUACAUUUUCUUAAUUAACUUCAUUACUUUAAUCUACUAUAGUAUUGUAUUUAAAGAAAGGAUCCAUUUAUAUAGCGCGCUCAUAACUCAACUAUUUGUAUAAAACUACCAUUAACUAAUCUGAGAUGAUGCUGCAUCAACUUAAAUCUUACAGAAAUUGAACAAACAUCUGGACCAGAUUAAACAGACAUGGUUUCACCUGAAUCUUUCAGAACUCUCAGAGACUUAAAAAUUUAUACUAUACCAUGUUUUAAAGGCAUGGCAAACCUUUAGACCGGUCAGUCUCCAAGAGCCCUUAGUAACACAGGUAAAAAACCUUUGUCCAUGAUGUCUGAUUCAGGCUAUAUACCACAAUUUAAAAGAACACAUAAUGUGAGACAUAGAAGACACAAGCAGUAGUUAUUACACUGGAUCAUUUAAAAGGAACCUGUUGCAAUAAAAAGGUUAGUUUACAGUGCAAAAUAAAGCAUGUGUUGGACCGCUGAAAAUGUAAAUGUUGCUCUGUUAUUUUCAAACAAAAAUCAUAUUUAGUAUGGAUCCUUUGCAACAAACACACAGGGCAGGGAAGAUGUGCUGAUUGGUGUUUCUAUACAAUUAAUCCCAUAUGGGGAAUUAACUUUCAAAUACUAAUGAAGUGACUUUUUGUCUCAGUUAUAAAAUAUACUGAGCUCAUCAUGCAAACAAUGUAACACAUUUACACUAUCCCACUCUCAUAAUAAGUGUAGUGGGCUUAUAGUAUUUUUAAAGCAACAAUCAUUCCAGGCACACAGUUCCCAUGUGAAAUAACUUACAAUAAAACAGAGUAAUAAACUUAUACUUCUAUGCGACAGAAAGAAUAAAGCAAAAAGAUUUAAGUAGGUCUAUCAGGUACAACCUGUGAGUCAUUUCUUUUCUAAUAUACAGUACUGCUAUCUUGCAGAAAGAUAAGUCCUGCGCUCACUCCCAUCACUACUGGACAGCAGCAAGGACUACAGUACACAUC